rnacentral:rRNA from 1 species
AGUGAACGCUGGCGGUAGGCCUAACACAUGCAAGUCGAACGGCAGCACAGUAAGAGCUUGCUCUUACGGGUGGCGAGUGGCGGACGGGUGAGGAAUACAUCGGAAUCUACUUUUUCUUGGGGGAUAACGUAGGGAAACUUACGCUAAUACCGCAUACGACCUACGGGUGAAAGCAGGGGAUCUUCGGACCUUGCGCGAUUGAAUGAGGCGAUGUCGGAUUAGCUAGUUGGCGGGGUAAAGGCCCACCAAGGCGACGAUCCGUAGCUGGUCUGAGAGGAUGAUCAGCCACACUGGAACUGAGACACGGUCCAGACUCCUACGGGAGGCAGCAGUGGGGAAUAUUGGACAAUGGGCGCAAGCCUGAUCCAGCCAUACCGCGUGGGUGAAGAAGGCCUUCGGGUUGUAAAGCCCUUUUGUUGGGAAAGAAAAGCAGCAGGUUAAUACCCCGCUGUUCUGACGGUACCCAAAGAAUAAGCACCGGCUAACUUCGUG